rnacentral:rRNA from 1 species
AUGAACGCUGGCGGCGUGCCUAAUACAUGCAAGUCGAGCGAACAGACGAGGAGCUUGCUCCUCUGACGUUAGCGGCGGACGGGUGAGUAACACGUGGAUAACCUACCUAUAAGACUGGGAUAACUUCGGGAAACCGGAGCUAAUACCGGAUAACAUGUUGAACCGCAUGGUUCAACAGUGAAAGACGGUCUUGCUGUCACUUAUAGAUGGAUCCGCGCCGCAUUAGCUAGUUAGUAAGGUAACGGCUUACCAAGGCAACGAUGCGUAGCCGACCUGAGAGGGUGAUCGGCCACACUGGAACUGAGACACGGUCCAGACUCCUACGGGAGGCAGCAGUAGGGAAUCUUCCGCAAUGGGCGAAAGCCUGACGGAGCAACGCCGCGUGAGUGAAGAAGGUCUUCGGAUCGUAAAACUCUGUUAUUAGGGAAGAACAAAUGUGUAAGUAACUAUGCACGUCUUGACGGUACCUAAUCAGAAAGCCACGGCUAACUACGUG